rnacentral:rRNA from 2 species
ACGGGGUGCAGCAGGCGCGAAAACUUUGCAAUGUGCGAAAGCACGACAAGGUUAAUCCGAGUGGUUUCUGCUAAAGAAACCUUUUGUCAGUCCUAGAAACACUGAUGAAUAAGGGGUGGGCAAGUUCUGGUGUCAGCCGCCGCGGUAAAACCAGCACCUCGAGUGGUCAGGAGGUUUAUUGGGCCUAAAGCAUCCGUAGCCGGUUGCAUAAGUUUUCGGUUAAAUCUAUGCGCUCAACGUAUAGGCCGCCGAAAAUACUGUGCAGCUAGGGAGUGGGAGAGGUACACGGUACUCAAUAGGAAGGGGUAAAAUCCUUUGAUCUAUUGAUGACCACCUGUGGCGAAGGCGGUGUACCAGAACACGUUCGACGGUGAGGGAUGAAAGCUGGGGGAGCAAACCGGAUUAGAUACCCGGGUAGUCCCAGCUGUAAACGAUGCAGACUCGGUGAUGCAUUGGCUUGUGGCCAAUGCAGUGCUGCAGGGAAGCCGUUAAGUUUGCCGCCUGGGAAGUACGUACGCAAGUAUGAAACUUAAAGGAAUUGGCGGGGGAGCAC